UCUAUACUGUUACUAUCUUCCUGUUUAUAGUCUUAAACACAUUGUGUGACAGUAAGCCUUAUUGCUUUUAAUUAAUCUUUUAAAAAUGUCCUUAAUCAGUUUUAAUUUGAAAAACCCAUAGGGUACUUUUAUUUCAGUACUUUCCAGGCAAAAAUCAGCAAAUUUCUUGAGAUACCUUUUGGCCCAAUUACUUCGCUAGUCACAUUAAAAAUGGUGAUACCCAACAGUAUGCAAUUGACUUCAUGCAGUAGGAUAUAUCCUUCCUCUCCUCCACCUCAGGAGUGCUCCCCCACCUUCUUGUUGACCUCCAAAUCUACUCCAGAGGGCUAAUAGUCCCAUUGUAUAAGUGGAAGUUGAUUCCACUGGCGAAUGGUUCUUGCUGGAUGUCACCAUGUAAAGGACUGAAUUAUGGGCACAUUGUUUUCUGCUGUGCCAGUGACACUAGAAGGAAUAUGUUAAAAAUUAUGCAAUGUGUCAAUUCCGAAAUGAAAAAUACACUCUGGGUUUAUUUAGUCCUACCUGUGUCACUCAGUGGUUAUAAGUAGUAUUAGGAUGUAGGUAGGAAACAGGCACUGGCUUCGUCCCCUAAAGCUUUAUAUUACUACUCAUAGUAUCAUUUACUGUUGGAAAAAUUGCUUUUAAUAUUCUGAUUUUCUAACAUUAUGAAAAGAAAUAAUUAAUUUCUUGUAAGUCAACUCCAAAACUUUGCACACAAACAAAAUUUUUGUUUGUCAUUCUGCCUUUGUCUUGUCAGGAAAUAGGUACAUGGCAUUCCCUUUUCUGUCACUACUGCUUGAUAGAGUUCUUCCUAUGUGUAUUUAACAGAUUUUGCAUCUAUGAAAAGUUGUGUGUGUGAGUUGAGGAGUGAUGAUGUAUUUGAUUGGGAAGGAACAUGAAUAUUGGGCCGUGCCAAUCUCCGUCCAAUUAAAAAUUGGUUGUUUGACACCAAGGUAGUUAAAAUGUGUUCCUGCAUAACCAGGGAUAGUUUGUGCCAGCUUGAAGGUAGAUAGAGACUAUAACUUUCAAGGCUACUGCUAUGGGACAAAUGAGAUGGGAACAUCUAGCUCCAUCUAUGUCUAUUGUUGUCCAUGAAGCAGCAUUGGCUAGGUAUAGAGAGAAUCCAGGACAGAGCUAGGCCAUGGAAGAUUCCUCUUCUUCCAUCUUAUCCUGUUUUGCCUGGAUUGUGUCCCAGCAAUGCUUACCUCGGUGCAUUACCUGUUGCCUAGCAAUCCUUUGCUUCUAAAAUGUAGUAAGGUGUUUGUAUUGCUCCUAUACUCAUUCAAACGGAAGAGUCUUUACUUCCACCUCUUCAUCCAGAAAAUACCCUUCCUUACAGUCUUUUCGUUGCCAUAUUUUAUUCUCUUGCCACAUCAUCUUGCACAUCAUAGUGCAAGGUACAGAUACAUUUUUAUUGCAGCCUUAUUUAUCUUCAUCCCAUGUUUGAUCAUCCUUCUUUGUGGUUUCUUAACAUUCACUCACCUGGAUUCUGCAUCUUCACAGAGCGAGGCAUAAUACUGUAUUGGUUAGCUGAUCAGUGUUCAGGAUACUGUGUCAGGGAAUAGAUUGGAGGAAAUAGAACAGGAGCCCAGAUUAUUCAUCUGGUCUUUCUCAGUAGUGAGCAUGUGGAUGGUGCUGGGCUAGAAGACAGAAUAAGUUCUGAAUGCUAGUCAAUCUGAAAAUCUGAGCAUCAGCUCUUAUGAAAGCACCGUGCAUAUGGAUACAAUUAUGCAGUAACAUGCUUUUAUAACGUACAAAAUUGUACAGAGGCUUAGCUAUGGAAAAAGUUAUGGCACAAGGAUGGUGAUACAAUUUAACUUGAGAAUAUCUAACAUGAACAGCUAAGUGAACAUGAUAAAAAUUAAUGAUUGCUGCCAAAGUCAACAAAUAGUACUAUGCCACAGCUAAAGAAACACAGAAUCUUGGUGAAUCCUCAUGGCACAUACCGAUGACUAGAUCUGAGUUUUCUCUUCUUACCUCUUCUGAUAUCCUGGGCCAUUUUUGGUAAGUUUAAUUAAACAGCUUCCCAUCCAAUAGCUAUACUGUUACCUACCUCACAGGGUUGUUGUGAGGCUUAAUUAAAUGUUUUAGGUCCAAUAAUAGUGUGGAAAUGUUACAAAGUACUAUUCUGGGAAUGUACUACACAAGGGACAACAACAUAAAUUGACAAAAUAUAUCCCUUUGAUUUAAUUUUCCAGAACGAGCAGUUAAGUGGCAAAGGCUACAAUUCAAAACACACCUACUAGAUAAAUUUGUUUUCUGCUAUGUGAAUGAACUGUAGUAAGCCUUCUAAAGCCAUAAGGAAGAGAUUUGCCCUGAAAUUUGGCUGCUUCUUAGUUUAAACAAAGGAUAGCAACCCUGCGGGCCUACAGAUGUUAUGCUAAAUUUGCAUCAUCCCUGAAGAUUGGCCAUGUUGGCUGUGGCUGUUGACAGUUGGAUGCUGCAACACCCGGAGGGCCACAUAUUCCCCACCCCUAGUCUACUCAAACUGCAUUGUGCUAGAUGUUGAUCUUGGAGUUCCUUGAUCUGUUAACAUAGUGGGGAACCAUGGCUUCUGUUAACUGGGCCUGAGAGACUUCCUUCCAAAUAAACAGAAUUCAGUCGUGUGUUAAAGUUUAACAAUUUUGAUACUUAGAACUUCAUGUUAUCAAACACCAUAAAUAAAAUAAUAGAAAAUAGGGAAUUUACAUUUUCAUUCUCGAAUAAUGUCCCACACCACUGCAGUUUGUAUUUUUAAAAAAAUCUAGCUUCAUAAUAAUAUUCUUGAGUGUUCCAGUAUAGUACAGUUGUAGAUAAUUAAGAAGGAAGUUUUACUUAGGCAUUUUAAUCCUAUUGCUGUAGCUGUAUACAGGACCCAGAAUGAGUUGCAAAUUAUCAAAUAAUAAGCAACUUAGAAUAAAAACAAAAAAAGGAGCUAAGACCAAAACCCUAAACCAAUUUUAAAAAAUGUCUAAAAACAUUCCUCAAGUCAAAACACAUAGUUUUUUAUGUGUACUUUAUUAUUUUUAAAAUAACAUUACAUUUCUUAAAAGAUUAACACAACAUUCAUUAAAAACAACUUUAAUACAUUAUUAUACAUUCAAAGAAGGGGAUGGGGAAGGAAAGUGGAAACAUGGGCUUCAACAUGACCCACUGGGCUGUGUACUUCAUGCAGACAAUUCCAUAUACGAGUCCAAAAUUUUGACAGUUGCCUGUUGAAGGUCACUUUUUCACACACUGAAAGAAUUGAGAAAACAGACUAUUUAUAGUUAAAAUUCAAUGAUCUCUCCACCACUGCCCAGCCCCCCACAACAAAACAAAACCAACCGGGAUAAAGAGGUUUCCACACUUUUCCUUAAAAACAUGUCAGGAAAGCUGCUCAGUGUUAAGAAGCAGACUGUAGAUUACGAAGGCUUAUGAGGGAACAAAUUCUCAGGGUCUUGUUUUCACAUUGAAGUGGGAUCAUUGAGCUGCUUUUCAUUAAACUAAUGCUAAACAAGCAUUAAGUAACAAUGCAGUGUGUAAUCCCGCCUUCCAAUUUGUCAAAGAUUCAUAAACAAAGCUCUUAGGCUCCAAAAACUUAAUAUAAAAUUUGAUAUGAAAAUCGGCUUUUUUCUUUUUAAAAACUAGUAUUGGAAAUUUGAAUUUCCAUUAUAUUUGAGAGUGUAACUCUAACUAACGUGUUGGCUUUGUUGCACUUUAGCAUAGACUAAGAAGGAUUUUUUCAAAAGGUAUAGAGGCCACAGAAAAUGUAGGAUUUCAGGAUUAUACAUCUUUUUCUUAUAGGAUUUUUAAAUCUAUUUUGAUACAAACAUUCUGAGAAAGACAUAUUUAGAAAUAUAUGGUUGAAAAUAUAAUUGUUUGAGAAUGUGCUUUGAGUUCUUUAAUGUGAAAUACCUACAUAUUGCUAAAAUUUCCUCUGAAAUUAAUCUGAUGCUAUUGCUACAGUUAUGUAAUACCCUACUACGGUAAUUUUUUUACAAAGUUGCAUGUGGUUUUCUGUAAAGCAAUUGUUUAUACUAGACUUUGAAGCACCUCAUGAAUCUCGUACCUUUUAAAAAAAUGUACUUGUAUACUGCUCCUUACCUGUUAAUAAAUAUUAAUUUCUAUA